GACGAACGCUGGCGGCGUGCUUAACACAUGCAAGUCGAACGGAAAGGCCCUGCUUUUGUGGGGUGCUCGAGUGGCGAACGGGUGAGUAACACGUGAGUAACCUGCCCUUGACUUUGGGAUAACUUCAGGAAACUGGGGCUAAUACCGGAUAGGAGCUCCUGCUGCAUGGUGGGGGUUGGAAAGUUUCGGCGGUUGGGGAUGGACUCGCGGCUUAUCAGCUUGUUGGUGGGGUAGUGGCUUACCAAGGCUUUGACGGGUAGCCGGCCUGAGAGGGUGACCGGCCACAUUGGGACUGAGAUACGGCCCAGACUCCUACGGGAGGCAGCAGUGGGGAAUAUUGCACAAUGGGCGGAAGCCUGAUGCAGCAACGUCGCGUGCGGGAUGACGGCCUUCGGGUUGUAAACCGCUUUCGCCUGUGACGAAGCGUGAGUGACGGUAAUGGGUAAAGAGGCACCGGCUAACUACGUG
rnacentral:rRNA from 1 species